GGGCCUGUGGCUCAGUUAGGUAGAGCAGCAGACUCUUAAUCUGUCGGUCGUCGGUUCAAAUCCGACCAGGCUCGCCA
rnacentral:tRNA from 1 species